rnacentral:rRNA from 1 species
CCUACGGGAGGCUGCAGUGGGGAAUAUUGCACAAUGGGCGCAAGCCUGAUGCAGCCAUGCCGCGUGUGUGAAGAUGGCCUUCGGGUUGUAAAGCACUUUCAGCGGGGAGGAAGGCGGUGAGGUUAAUAACCUCAUCGAUUGACGCUACCCGCAGAAGAAGCACCGGCUAACUCCGUGCCAGCAGCCGCGGUAAUACGGAGGGUGCAAGCGUUAAUCGGAAUUACUGGGCGUAAAGCGCACGCAGGCGGUCUGUCAAGUCGGAUGUGAAAUCCCCGGGCUCAACCUGGGAACUGCAUUCGAAACUGGCAGGCUAGAGUCUUGUAGAGGGGGGUAGAAUUCCAGGUGUAGCGGUGAAAUGCGUAGAGAUCUGGAGGAAUACCGGUGGCGAAGGCGGCCCCCUGGACAAAGACUGACGCUCAGGUGCGAAAGCGUGGGGAGCAAACAGGAUUAGAUACCCGAGUAGUC